UAUGUACUCUCUCCGUUUGGAAUUACUUGUCUCGGAAAUGGAUGUAUCUAGAAUUAAAAUACGUCUAGAUACAUCCGUUUCUGCGACAAGUAAUUCCGAACGGAGGGAGUAUGAA
rfam:Triticum aestivum genome assembly, contig: Triticum_aestivum_CS42_TGACv1_scaffold_570644_7AS